rnacentral:rRNA from 1 species
UGGCUCAGGAUGAACGCUGGCGGCGUGCCUAAUACAUGCAAGUAGAACGCUGAAGGAAGGAGCUUGCUUUUUCCGGAUGAGUUGCGAACGGGUGAGUAACGCGUAGGUAACCUGCCUGGUAGCGGGGGAUAACUAUUGGAAACGAUAGCUAAUACCGCAUAACAACAGUUGUUGCAUGACAGCUGUUUAAAAGGUGCAAAUGCACCACUACCAGAUGGACCUGCGUUGUAUUAGCUAGUUGGUGAGGUAACGGCUCACCAAGGCGACGAUACAUAGCCGACCUGAGAGGGUGAUCGGCCACACUGGGACUGAGACACGGCCCAGACUCCUACGGGAGGCAGCAGUAGGGAAUCUUCGGCAAUGGACGAAAGUCUGACGGAGCAACGCCGCGUGAGUGAUGACGGCCUUCGGGUUGUAAAGCUCUGUUAAUCGGGACGAAAGGUCCUCUUGCGAAUAGUUAGAGGAAUUGACGGUACCGGAAUAGAAAGCCACGGCUAACUACGUGCCAGCAGCCGCGGUAAUACGUAGGUGGCAAGCGUUAUCCGGAUUUACUGGGCGUAAAGGGUGCGUAGGUGGUCCUUCAAGUCGGUGGUUAAAGGCUACGGCUCAACCGUAGUAAGCCGCCGAAACUGGAGGACUUGAGUGCAGGAGAGGAAAGUGGAAUUCCCAGUGUAGCGGUGAAAUGCGUAGAUAUUGGGAGGAACACCAGUAGCGAAAGGCGGCUUUCUGGACUGCAACUGACACUGAGGCACGAAAGCGUGGGUAGCAAACAGGAUUAGAUACCCU